rnacentral:rRNA from 1 species
UACGUAGGGGGCGAGCGUUGUCCGGAGUUACUGGGCGUAAAGGGCAUGCAGGCGGUCGGACGCGUUUUGUGUGACAGCGGGUGGCUCAACUGCCCGAGCAUACGAAAGACGGUUUGACUUGAGGGCUCGAGAGGGACACGGAAUUCCGGGUGGAGUGGUGAAAUGCGUAGAGAUCCGGAGGAACACCGAAGGCGAAGGCAGUGUCCUGGCGAGUGACUGACGCUGAGGUGCGAAAGCCAGGGGAGCAAACGGG